UAGAAAUGAUAGAGAGAGAAAUGGAUUGAAGUAUAAGUGAAAAGGUUGGUUUUGCAGAGGUUGGUCUGCUAGGGACUCAAUGACAGGAGAUUCUAGAGUCUGGAGAAAAGAUCUGAAGGGGCACUGACCAACUGAAAUGGGCUUCCUGUUUCUUGGAGCUGAGAGAAGAGGUAACAGAGUUCUGCUGAUCCUAGAGAUACUAAAUCUAACAGUGACAUUGAAGGGAAACCUUUGGACUUUCUUGGGAGUACCUUUCCCCACAAAAAAAAGAAGAGAGACAUCUAAGAAGAUCUUGUAUAAUAUCAAACCUGGUGAUUCACACUCUAGUGUGAAUUGGACUUAAGUAAAUCAGAGUUGCAUAAAGUCAUCAGCCUCACUCGCUCUUCCAGAGUCAUCCAAAUCCAAUGGCAAGAUACAAGUCAGGAUGCCUGGCAAUGACCCAGGAUGAAGUGUAUGAUCUUGCUGUCUUCAAGCUUUAAGUGCUCUCCAUCACCUGCUUUAGCUGCCUUCAUUGCUAUUGUAACAAAUUGUUCUCAUUUCCCAUCUCACCUGAAGAAGUCUUCAUGUGCUUGAGACUAAUCAUGCAACUGACUCCCAUGGAAAUUGUGGAUAAGGAAUCCAUUAAUGAAAAUGGCACUGCUUGCUUCUUUCUUGUUGACCUGAUAGCCUUGGGGCUAUCAAAAGAGCAGAUAACUAAUAGGAAAACUGCACAUUUUUACAGUCUCCCAAAUGCUCAGUGUAGUGCCUUGCACACAGAUGAAGAAACUGGACCCCAGAGAAGGGAAAUAAUUAUAAUUAGUCCAAGGUGAUUAAGGGACAAAGCUAGAACUAAAUUCAACUCUUGAUUUCCAAGCCAAUUAUUUUUCUAGUAUUCUGGAAAGAUAACUGAGUCAUAAAUUCACAUCAAUUUACAAAUGACAUAUCAAAUCUUUUCCAGGAAGAGACAGCUUGCGGGAAAAGGAGGACUGACCAUAGAAAAUAAAUGACUGAAAUGGAGUCA
rnacentral:lncRNA from 1 species